GUGACAAGAGCUCUGAGCCGGCCGGUGCACCCAGCAGGCUGCCUCCCAGCACCCGCCCCUCUCCCGCUGAGCCCCUUCGGAAGCCCCGCUGGCUACUGCCCUCCCCUCCGGAGGCCAGAGCCGCGGUGGUCGAGCCGCCUUUCCCCAGGUCCUAGCCUGUGGCGCCAUCUGAGCUGCGCCGGGAGGGAGCCCCAGCGGGUGAACCCGGCGACGGUGGUUCCCGAGGAUGCGGAGUCGUUCCAGGACCUGGGGAGGCAGCAGUCAGCCGGGCUCUGCCUCGGCGACCCUCCCGUCACCUCACCGCCCCAGGCGGGGCCCCGGGACGCACCCGGAGCCGCUGCCGCUCGCGGUCCCGCAGCCGCCGCUCCCUGGCCGCGCGGUGCAGCUCCAGCAGGCGCUGCAGAGCCUCCUGCUCAGCGCCCGCCAGCGCCUCCUCCCUGCUCCGGGGCUCGGGCCACGCGGCCCUCGAGGAUUUGGGGUCCCCAGGGCCUCUCUGCUCCCAGGGAGCACCCUGGAGCCCCGGUGGGGGCUCCUGCGCCCCAAAGGCCGGUAUCGCGGCAGGGGAAGGAGCCCACGCCCCUUCCCGGGUGGCCACCACCCGUGGCAGCUGGGGGCUACCACCCGGGGGUCCUGGUAUCCGCGUUUGCACAUGCUGGGGGGUCGGUUUUCCUGGGGACCUGCAAAAGUCCCUGGAACAGCCCUCAGGGUGGCCCUCUUCCCGGCGCCACACUGUCGCUCCUCCCUGAGCUUCCCCGCAGACUUCUGAAUUACCACCUUCCCCAAAGUGAGGGGGUUCGAAUUCCUGCUGAGCCUGCUUCCUUUCACUUCGACUCUGAGGAACCGCUUUGUCUUGUCCCCGAAUCGGUUCUCCUGUAUAACUCCGAGGCGACUGCCCACGCUGACCCUGUGGUGUCUCAGGGUCACCCUGAGGAGAGUCUGUCAACAGUGUCUGGGGCUCAGCUCCCUCGGCCCUCUCGUGACUCAGGCCAGCGCCAAGCCCCGUGGAAGGGGGAUCUUGGAGUUCUGGCAAUCCCUGGGAAGCCAGGUCAGAGGGCUCCGGGCCUUCCUGGCCCAGCGUUCCCUCCUGUGGGCUUCUAA
rnacentral:lncRNA from 1 species